AGGGCCCUGCCCUGUAGGGCUGAAGGCCGCCCGAGGUUCACCAAGGCUCUGGGCUCCCGAAAGGAAGCCAAGAAAAGAAGCUGCCCAGGGGACCAGUCCUGGGAAUGCUCUCUCCCAAGGAAGCUCCGAGCGCCCAGGAGCCCUUAGCCUGGGUACAGUGCCCCUUGAACAAUCCCUAGCUGUUCAAGGCAGUGGGGCGGCGCCUCCUCUCUAGCUACCUGGCCUGGGAUCCUUUCCCCAAACUCACCCCGGCGAUUUUUGCGCACCGGGAGCCGAACCCCUGCGACUGGGCUCAGGCAUGCUUCCUCAGCGUUUCAGAGCCGUUGCGCCUUGGCGAAGUCCACAUUCCAAGCUCCAGGGGCUUUGAGAGAGACGACUCCAAGGCAAGGCGUUUGGAGAGCUGCUGAGGAGCCAGCGGCUUGGAGGAGCGAGAAGACAUGUAUUUUCAGCUGUGUCUCAGAAGGGGAGAAUUUCCUGUCAUCACCAGAGAAGCAACAGCCCCGAAAUGUGAUUGCAACUGACUAACAGAGCAGAGGCCCAGGAGUCAUUGGAUUGAUGAUUUAGAACAUGCUAAAAAGCCAACGCUUUAUUUGGGGGAAUUCAGGGGCUUACUGGUGCCCAGGACAGUGACCUGCAGCAAGGGAGUCAGAAGACAAAUGUAGAGAUCAAGAGUGACAGUCCUCAGGAUUGACUUGGAUUGCCACUAAAGCAGUCCUCUGAUGGAAUGUUGGUGAGGUCCUCUGCCAGGGAAGCAAUAGGGCUGUGCAAGGGGCUACCUGGUGGGGAGGACUCCUGGAAAUCUGACUGACCCCUGUUCCCUGCUUAGGAACUUGAGGGGUGUCAGAGCCCCUG
rnacentral:lncRNA from 1 species